CAGAGGGGGCAAGCGUUAUUCGGAAUUAUUGGGCGUAAAGGGCGCGUAGGCGGCUUUUCAAGUGACGGGUGAAAUCCCUCGGCUUAACCGAGGAACUGCCUGUCAGACUGGAAGGCUUGAGACCGGGAGAGGUGAGUGGAAUUCCCAGUGUAGCGGUGAAAUGCGCAGAUAUUGGGAGGAACACCAGCGGCGAAGGCGGCUCACUGGACCGGAACUGACGCUGAGGCGCGAAAGCGUGGGGAGCAAACAGGAUUAGAUACCCUGGUAGUCCACGCCGUAAACGAUGAGUGCUUGGUGUAGCGGGUAUCGACCCCUGCUGUGCCGAAGUCAACACAUUAAGCACUCCGCCUGGGGAGUACGGUCGCAAGACUG
rnacentral:rRNA from 1 species